rnacentral:tRNA from 1 species
GGAGAGGUGGCCGAGCGGCUGAAGGCAGCAGAUUGCUAAUCUGUCGUGGGGGGUUACCUCCACCGCGGGUUCGAAUCCCGCCCUCUCCGCCA